rnacentral:rRNA from 1 species
AUGGGAACGCGAAGAACCUUACCUACUCUUGACAUCCAGAGAACUUUCCAGAGAUGGAUUGGUGCCUUCGGGAACUCUGAGACAGGUGCUGCAUGGCUGUCGUCAGCUCGUGUUGUGAAAUGUUGGGUUAAGUCCCGCAACGAGCGCAACCCGUUAUCCUUUGUUGCCAGCGGUUAGGCCGGGAACUCAAAGGAGACUGCCAGUGAUAAACUGGAGGAAGGUGGGGAUGACGUCAAGUCAUCAUGGCCCUUACGAGUAGGGCUACACACGUGCUACAAUGGCGCAUACAAAGAGAAGCGACCUCGCGAGAGCAAGCGGACCUCAUAAAGUGCGUCGUAGUCCGGAUUGGAGUCUGCAACUCGACUCCAUGAAGUCGGAAUCGCUAGUAAUCGUAGAUCAGAAUGCUACGGUGAAUACGUUCCC